rnacentral:lncRNA from 1 species
GGGCUAGAUGGUGGAGUAUUGUGGUCUCGGGUGCCGCGAACCUGGUCAGAUCUUGGGAAAGCUAGAUUUGGAUCGACAUAUGCAAGAUUUGGUUCUACAUAUGUCGGGUGGUUAGGAACUCUAGCUGGAUUGCUAAGCGAUUCGAAUCGUCAUUGCUCCCCGAUUGGGAGACUCAAUUCCUUCGACCCUCAUCGUAGUUAAAUAUGCAACU